rnacentral:rRNA from 1 species
UACAGAGGGUGCAAGCGUUGUUCGGAAUUAUUGGGCGUAAAGGGCGCGUAGGCGGUGCGGUAAGUCUGUAGUGAAAUCUCUGGGCUCAACUCAGAGUCUGCUGCAGAAACUGCCGUGCUUGAGUGUGGGAGAGGUGAGUGGAAUUCCCGGUGUAGCGGUGAAAAUGCGUAGAUAUCGGGAGGAACACCUGUGGCGAAGGCGAUCACCUGGGGUUGUUCUGACGCUGAGGAGCGAAAGCUAGGGGAGCAAACGGGG